GGAGGUCCGCCAGGAGCAGCCAGCCGAGCGUCAGCAGCCGCCCGGGGGAGCAGCGCGCGCCCCCAGGGCCCACGGUUCUCGGGCCCCGACGGCCGUCCAAGGCGUAGUCGCAGCCGCCCGCUCCUGACGAGAGGGUGCAGCAUCAGACGAGGAAGGAGGUGGCCACCCUGGCGAAGGAACUCCAGACCUCCCGGGCGAUUCCAACCGUGAAGGUGACGGGAACCGUGAGGGCGACGGGAGCCACGAGGUCGACGGGAGCCACGAGGGUAGUGGGGGUGGCCAGAAGAAUCAACAGCCUGAAGACCCGGCUUGUGCGGCGGCGGCUGCCGAGGCUGCGCUGCCCCACCGUGGGAAGCGACGUGCCUGGCGCGUUAAAUUCAUGCCGGAGCAGGUGCGGGUGAUGGAAAGCAUUUUUGAGCAAACUCGGUACCUGGACAGGCUCACAAGAAGCCAACUUGCAAGAUCCAUAGGUGAGACUGAAGCUAGAGUGCAGAUGUGGUUUAAGAAUCGGAGGGCCAAGUACAAGCGAAAUCAGAGCACCUCGUGCCCAGGAACGCGCCAGCUGACCCAGACCACCCUGCCAUCGUAAUGAUGGAGGGGCCCUAGAAUCCUAGUUCCAGAGCUGGAGCACAGAUGGAUGCUUCUGGCGCCAUGGGCCCAUGGGCCACCCAUGCUGCCCAUGCCACCCUUAUCCCCUCCACACUUGUGUUAUCA